CACCAGGGGCUGUGACUGCAGCCGUUUCUCCUAAAGGCGGGGAGGGGUCGUCUCCAGGGUCCAGACCCUCUUCUGGAGCCCUCCCCCGCCCGUUUUCCCCGCAGGCCACGCGGGCAGAUGUGUUUUUUUACCCGGAGCUGGAAGAACUCCUAGGGAUCCUGGAAAUCACUACUCUUCCCAUGCCUCCGUUUCCUCGUUACAAACUAGGAAUGAGAAGGUUGGCUGCUGUGUUGUGCGAGCAGCUCUGGCGACGAAAGAAUAGCAGUUUAUUUCAGAGGUCACAAAGGGCGAGGCUGGAAUUUCCAUUUUCACUCUUGAAUGGGACUUGUGUCACAAUAUCUGUUAGAGGCAUUCGAAAUCGGCCACAAGAUCAGCCGUUAGUGUUGUCAGAAGCCACAGCCCUACCUGAGGCUUUGAGAGAUGGGACUGCCAAUGGUUUUUCUCCUCCUGACUCACUCAAUACCAAGAAAAAGCAACUUCCCCAAAAACACAGAAACAGAAAGUACUCGUGGAUGGGCACAGAGAACUGGUCCCAGCCUCUAUUAGAGAUGGGAAGGCGCUCAGAACCGUCCAGCACUUCUUCUCUUGCAUGGACCACCCCUGUCCCGCCCGCCCCCCACUGUUUUACAAACAAGGAACCAGAGCCGUGAAGUCUGUGAGAAGACAUCCUGGAGGUCUUUCAUCUUGAGAAGGCUCUGUCUGUGUCUCCCCAUCCCAAGAGGGCAGAACAACCAGGAGAUCUGAUCAGCACUUGACACCUAUUGGCCAGGACUUCCAACUACAGCCACCCAGGACCGGAGCAGGUUCAAGAGCUAAAACAGCUCAGAUUCAAGGACAGAACUGGCGAGAUGGUGUUGGUUUGCUAGAGUAUGGCAUUUCACGAUAGCACUGUGGAUACCCUGUGCCUCCUGAAACAAGCCCAAUGAAUGUGUCAGAUGCCCCCCCCCUUUUUUUCCCAGUUCAAUAACGUUUUCUUUCCCCUACACAUCUUUUUCACAUUCUUCUUACUAGUUUUUUAGCCGGUGGCAUCUCACAUUGUAUCUUUUCAACAGGCACACUUUGUGUAUUAAGCAUUAUAGGAAUAUUCUUCACUUCC